rfam:Clostridium tetanomorphum DSM 665 contig8, whole genome shotgun sequence.
CUCUUAUCAAGAGAGGUGGAGGGAAAAGGGCCCUAUGAAACCCGGCAACCAGUACUAAGUACUAAGGUGCCAAUUUCAGCAGAUAUUUUCUGCAAGAUAAGAG